rnacentral:rRNA from 1 species
UAUCUCUGUAGAGUCUGCAUAUCAAUAAGCGGAGGAAAAGAAACUAACUAGGAUUCCCUCAGUAACGGCGAGUGAAGCGGGAAGAGCUCAAAUUUGAAAUCUUCAAGGUUCUACCUUGACGAAUUGUAGUUUAAAGAAGUGUUUUCUGUUGGAGUUUUGGUAAAAGUUCUUUGGAAUAGGACAUCAUAGAGGGUGAGAAUCCCGUAUUUGACCAUUAUUUCCAACUUUGUGAUACACUUUCAAAGAGUCGGAUUGUUUGGGAAUGCAGUCCAAAAUGGGUGGUAAAUUUCAUCUAAAGCUAAAUAUUGGCGAGAGACCGAUAGCGAACAAGUACCGUGAGGGAAAGAUGAAAAGAACUUUGAAAAGAGAGUUAAACAGUACGUGAAAUUGUCAAAAGGGAAGCGUUUGACACCAGUGUUGUUUUCUCGAAAAUCAAUUAAAAAUGGCAUGGAUUUUGUGUUGUAUUGACUUUAUCAGCUUUCUGCACUCUUUUCUUGUCUUUUUUAAUGCACUUUUCGCUUAACAAGUCAACAUCAAUUUCUUUUGUUGUAAAAGGGUCAUUGGAAGGUGGCUUUCUUUUCGGAGAAAGUGUUUAUAGCCUUUGGCCUCUGCAAUCGGAGAGAUUGAGGUCUGCAGCGUAGAUCCUUCGGGGUUAGAUAGCAUUUGUGCUAAGUUAUAGCCUUUCAUAGACAACUUGUUGACUAUGAUCAGUCAUGUAGCUUACUCGCUUAUGUCUAUUUUACCUACGCUUAGGAUGUUGAGUAGCGACAUACGCAC